GGGCCUGUAGCUCAGCUGGCUAGAGCGCCAAACUGAUAAUUUGGAGGUCUCAGGUUCGAGUCCUGACAGGCCCA
rnacentral:tRNA from 1 species